AGGGCACCACCAGGAGUGGAGCCUGCGGCUUAAUUUGACUCAACACGGGAAAUCUCACCAGGCCCGGACACCGGUAGGAUUGACAGAUUGAGAGCUCUUUCUUGAUUCGGUGGGUGGUGGUGCAUGGCCGUUCGGUAGUUGGUGUUGGUUGUUGGUAGUUGGUGUAGCAAUUUGUCUGGUUAAUUCCAAGAAAGAACGAGAUUUUGGCCUAUUUAUUAGACGUUAGAUCCUUUCGUGGGUCUAUUGCAGCUUCUUAGAGGGACGGGCGGCGUUUAGCCGCACGAGAUUGAGCAAUAACAGGUCUGUGAUGCCCUUAGAUGUUCUGGGCUGCACGCGCGCUACACUGAAGGAAUCAGCGUGUGUUCCCUACCCGAAAGGGUUGGGAAACCCGUUGAACCUCCUUCGUGAUGGGGAUUGGGGAUUGCAAUUAUUCCCCAUGAACGAGGAAUUCCCAGUAGGCGCGAGUCAUAAGCUCGCGUCGAUUACGUCCCUGCCCUUUGUACACACCGCCCGUCGCUA
rnacentral:rRNA from 1 species